UAGGGUGGUUAUAGCAUUGGGGCUCACCUCUUCCCAUACCGAACAGAGAAGUUAAGCCCAAUAGCGCCGAUGGUACUGCAUUUAUGUGGGAGAGUAGGUCGCCGCCUUUC
rfam:Polaribacter sp. KT25b genome assembly, chromosome: I